CACGUAGGCGGACUCUUAAGUCGGUGGUGAAAUCCUGGAGCUCAACUCCAGAACUGCCUUCGAUACUGGGAGUCUCGAGUCCGAGAGAGGUGAGUGGAACUGCGAGUGUAGAGGUGAAAUUCGUAGAUAUUCGCAAGAACACCAGUGGCGAAGGCGGCUCACUGGCUCGGUACUGACGCUGAGGUGCGAAAGCGUGGGGAGCAAACA
rnacentral:rRNA from 1 species